rnacentral:rRNA from 1 species
AUUGAACGCUGGCGGCAGGCCUAACACAUGCAAGUCGAGCGGGGUGAUGGUGCUUGCACUAUCACUUAGCGGCGGACGGGUGAGUAAUGCUUAGGAAUCUGCCUAUUAGUGGGGGACAACAUCUCGAAAGGGAUGCUAAUACCGCAUACGUCCUACGGGAGAAAGCAGGGGAUCACUUGUGACCUUGCGCUAAUAGAUGAGCCUAAGUCGGAUUAGCUAGUUGGUGGGGUAAAGGCCUACCAAGGCGACGAUCUGUAGCGGGUCUGAGAGGAUGAUCCGCCACACUGGGACAGAGACACGGCCCAGACUCCUACGGGAGGCAGCAGUGGGGAAUAUUGGACAAUGGGGGGAACCCUGAUCCAGCCAUGCCGCGUGUGUGAAGAAGGCCUUAUGGUUGUAAAGCACUUUAAGCGAGGAGGAGGCUCUUUUGGUUAAUACCCAAGAUGAGUGGACGUUACUCGCAGAAUAAGCACCGGCUAACUCUGUGCCAGCCGCCGCGGUAA